rnacentral:rRNA from 1 species
CCUGGCUCAGGAUGAACGCUAGCUACAGGCUUAACACAUGCAAGUCGAGGGGCAGCAUGGUCUUAGCUUGCUAAGGCCGAUGGCGACCGGCGCACGGGUGAGUAACACGUAUCCAACCUGCCGUCUACUCUUGGACAGCCUUCUGAAAGGAAGAUUAAUACAAGAUGGCAUCAUGAGUCCGCAUGUUCACAUGAUUAAAGGUAUUCCGGUAGACGAUGGGGAUGCGUUCCAUUAGAUAGUAGGCGGGGUAACGGCCCACCUAGUCUUCGAUGGAUAGGGGUUCUGAGAGGAAGGUCCCCCACAUUGGAACUGAGACACGGUCCAAACUCCUACGGGAGGCAGCAGUGAGGAAUAUUGGUCAAUGGGCGAGAGCCUGAACCAGCCAAGUAGCGUGAAGGAUGACUGCCCUAUGGGUUGUAAACUUCUUUUAUAAAGGAAUAAAGUCGGGUAUGGAUACCCGUUUGCAUGUACUUUAUGAAUAAGGAUCGGCUAACUCCGUGCCAGCAGCCGCGGUAAUACGGAGGAUCCGAGCGUUAUCCGGAUUUAUUGGGUUUAAAGGGAGCGUAGAUGGAUGUUUAAGUCAGUUGUGAAAGUUUGCGGCUCAACCGUAAAAUUGCAGUUGAUACUGGAUAUCUUGAGUGCAGUUGAGGCAGGCGGAAUUCGUGGUGUAGCGGUGAAAUGCUUAGAUAUCACGAAGAACUCCGAUUGCGAAGGCAGCCUGCUAAGCUGCAACUGACAUUGAGGCUCGAAAGUGUGGGUAUCAAACAGGAUUAGAUACCCUGGUAGUCCACACGGUAAACGAUGAAUACUCGCUGUUUGCGAUAUACUGCAAGCGGCCAAGCGAAAGCGUUAAGUAUUCCACCUGGGGAGUACGCCGGCAACGGUGAAACUCAAAGGAAUUGACGGGGGCCCGCACAAGCGGAGGAACAUGUGGUUUAAUUCGAUGAUACGCGAGGAACCUUACCCGGGCUUAAAUUGCAGAUGAAUUACGGUGAAAGCCGUAAGCCGCAAGGCAUCUGUGAAGGUGCUGCAUGGUUGUCGUCAGCUCGUGCCGUGAGGUGUCGGCUUAAGUGCCAUAACGAGCGCAACCCUUGUUGUCAGUUACUAACAGGUUCCGCUGAGGACUCUGACAAGACUGCCAUCGUAAGAUGUGAGGAAGGUGGGGAUGACGUCAAAUCAGCACGGCCCUUACGUCCGGGGCUACACACGUGUUACAAUGGGGGGUACAGAGGGCCGCUACCACGCGAGUGGAUGCCAAUCCCCAAAACCUCUCUCAGUUCGGACUGGAGUCUGCAACCCGACUCCACGAAGCUGGAUUCGCUAGUAAUCGCGCAUCAGCCACGGCGCGGUGAAUACGUUCCCGGGCCUUGCACACAC